rnacentral:misc_RNA from 1 species
AUUGAUUUAUGUGAUCCCUGCAGGCAAAUGUUUAGGGAUUACUCAAAAUCACAGCAGAUGAAGUUUGACAUAAUAUAUAAGCAUGCAACAACAACAAAUUUGCAUCAGUUAGGAGCGAAUUCGUUGUCAAAUAUGUACCAUUUUCCCAUUGUAGAAUCUUGCCAAAUGCCAUUAUUGAAAAAUGGUAUAUGUUUCACCAAUUAUAGCCUUAAAGUCCAGUUACUAACCGUAAACAUGACCGGACUCAGGGACACUUCCUUUCAUGACUUCUUUUCACCUAGAAAAUCGUGGAUUCCAUGUGUCUUCAAAAAGUCCUAACGUACUACUUGGGGUUUGACGACAAGUAUACUGCUCCGAAGUAGACAGUCUCUUACGGUGUUUGUCCCAGUGCAGAUCCCGUCAUGAUUCUUGACCCGCCUAAGUGUUUCUGGUUAGCACUAUUUACCUUUACUUUAAUUAGUAACGACUGUGUUGGACAACAUCAAGACUCAAUUAUAAAACGUGCACUGGUCAAAAGUUGGCGAAAGAAAGCGGAAGAAUACAAAGUUAGGCUAUUUGACCGGCUACCUACUAAUGAAGAACGCUCUUACACACCACCGCAAGUCAUCAAAAACCGAGGCUACCCAGUUGAAAUUCACCAAGUUACUACUGAUGAUGGAUACGUAUUGGAACUUCAUCGAAUUCCACCAAAUUCUUCAACGACUCCAAAGAAGGUGGUUUUCUUGCAGCACGGGGUGUUGCAAAAUUCUGGAGUCUGGACGGCUAAUCCUACUAGUCGUUCUCUCGCAUUUCUAUUAGCAGACAGAUCGUACGAUGUAUGGCUGGGAAACUUCCGUGGGAACACGUUUUCCAGGAGACAUACAACGCUUAAUCCCAGCACAGCCGAAUUUUGGAAAUUCAGCUGGGAUGAAUUGGGAAAUCAUGACAUCACAUCAUCGAUCGACUACGUACUGAAAUUUACUGGCCAACCACGACUAUCCUAUAUAGGGUACUCAUUAGGAAGUGCUGCAGUUUUUAUGGGAGCGGUCAAACAUCAAGAUCUUAAUUCGAAAAUAGAUAUCGUGAUUGCCCUUGCGCCACUUUCUACUUUUGCUCACGCUGCUAUCGAGGUUCUGCGCGUUUUUGCUCCAUGGGUUGAUUAUCUCAAGCGUGCGUUGGAUUUCAUGGGUGUUUAUGGAUGGUUUGACACCGACGGUUUAGGCGACCAAAUUUUCAAAUCUUUUUGCGAGCAAACUCGCACGCAAGCGCAGUUUUGCAUUGACUAUUUUUACAACAUUUUCGUUGGACCUAGCAAAAAUUUAGACCCCGAUAUGAUUCCACUAUUUAACGCGAACCUUAUGCGCGGGACAUCGGUGAAAGUUAUUGCGCAAUUUGCGCAAAAUUACAACGCAGGUAAAACACUUCAGGCUUAUGAUUUUGGUCGAGAGGGUAACAUGUUGCGGUAUGGAUCUCACAAACCAUGGACGUACGACCUGAGAAAUGUUACAGUUCCGGAGGAGCUGAUCGAGUUGUAACUCCAUUGGACGUAGAUUGGCUUUUGACACAAUUGGGAAACCUGAAAGGCUCUACUCGUCUUAUUGACUACAACCACUUGGAUUUCCUAUUUGGAAUUGACGUGAAAGAAAGACUGUACGACAAAGUUGUUGCCCUUUUGCCGGCAC